UACGAAGGGGGCGAGCGUUGUUCGGAAUUACUGGGCGUAAAGGGCGCGCAGGCGGCCCUUGAAGUCAGGCGUGAAAGCCCCGGGCUCAACCUGGGAGGUGCGCUUGAUACUCGAGGGCUUGAGUGCGGGAGAGGAGAGUGGAAUUCCCAGUGUAGAGGUGAAAUGCGUAGAUAUCAGGAGGAACACCUGCGGUGUAGACGGCUUUCUGGACCAUUGUUGACGCUGAGACACGAAAGCGUGGGUAGCAAACAGG
rnacentral:rRNA from 1 species